rnacentral:lncRNA from 1 species
GCUAGUCCAUGGCCCUCCUGCCUCCUCCCACGUCUUCCCCUCUUCCUGAGCAUCUCUACCUCAACCUAGUGAGAAAUACUUUGGGGCUCCAGGUUCCAGAAGAAGAGGAACCGAGAUGAUGGAAGCCACUGAUGGACAGAUGUGAGGCAGAUAAGGACAAUUGAUUUUAUCGGUGUGGGAACUCUCAGGAGAGAAAACUCCUUCUAGCAAUGCACUUGAUACGCGCUUGGCAAGUUAUAGUCUUGGAGAGAUGUCUGGGGGCAUUGAGACGUCCAGUGGUUUGUCUCACAGCCAAUAUGUGUCAGAACUAAGGCUUGAAGCCAUGGAGAAUCAAAGCUGUGGAGCUGGAGAAGAACGUGGGGGCUUCCAAGGGCAACUCCCUCCUUUUUCAGAAACUUCGGGGUCUCCCUGUUCCCACUUGGAUUCCAUCUAGACUUCCCUGUUUGA